GCUCAGAAGGUUUCUGCCGAACAGCCUUCAGAGUUCUCUUCAAGCACGCGGAUGAUUUGAUCCUCCUCCGACAGAACCGUGCCCUGAGGCCAGCUCAAGGGGACUACCCUCAUCUUGCAUGGCAGCCUGCAAGGGAUGAAGAGGAUGCAGAGAUUUACAGAUGGCAACAAAGGAGAACUUAAUGGGUAAAAGCUUCACGCAAAGACGUGGAUGCCUGCAGUCACUGGCCAUAGCCCUGACUGUGGGGCAAGACUUGGGCACAGCCCAGAACCAACAAGUACAUGAUACUUGCAUGCUGUACUUACAGCCUUAUCUACUCCUGUGUGGACUGCAGACAGUGCUCUUAGCUUCCCUCACUAUCCUUGGGGCCCAUCUACGCAGAAGCAGGAAAAUACAAAUAACUAUUUACAGCACCUGUAUACUGCAUUCAUGACCUGCUUCUCUCCAGGCUGUACCAUGCUAA